AGAUACCCCAAUAUGCCUAGCCGUAAAAUUAAAUUAGACCUAACAGCGCCAGGGAAUUACGAGCUUAAGCUUAAAACCCAAAGGACUUGACGGUGUCCCACCCACCUAGAGGAGCCUGUUCUAUAAUCGAUGAUCCACGCUAUACCCAACCAUUUUUUGCCUAAUCAGCCUGUAUACCUCCGUCGUAAACUUACCAUUUGAAUGUUUAAUAGUAGGUUAAAUGACCACCCGCCAAUACGUCAGGUCAAGGUGCAGCUUAUGAAAUGGAAAGCAAUGGGCUACAAUUUCUAACUUAGAACAUACGAAAUACUGCAUGAAAUAUAGUCAUGAAGGCGGAUUUAGUAGUAAAAGGGGAAUACAGAGCCCCUUUAAACUUGGCCCUGGGACGUGUACAAACCGCCCGUCACCCUCUUCAAUAGCCUUGAACCUGUUUCAUAACCCAAUUUUGCACUUUAGAAGAGGCAAGUCGUAACAUGGUAAGUGUACUGGAAAGUGCACUUGGAACAACAAAAUGUAGCUUAAUUUAAAGCCUCUCGCUUACACCGAGUAAAUGUGUGUUAAAUUCAGACCAUUUUGAGCCAAAAAUCCAGCCUAGUUUUUUCGCAUGCAUAUUCUAUAAAACUAAUUUAUAGUAAAACAUUUUACCGUUUAAGUAGAGGCGAUCGAAUAACUCUAAGAGCCCCAGAUUUAGUACCGCAAGGGAAAGAUGAAAUAAUAAUGAAAUAAACUAAAGCACAGUACAGCAGAGAUUACCCCUCGUACCUUUUGCAUCAUGGUCUAGCUAGUCUAACCAAGCAAAACGAAAUUUUAGUUUGACCUCCCGAAACUAAGCGAGCUACUUCAAAACAGCUUUUUAGAGCCAACCCGUCUCUGUUGCAAAAGAGUGGGAUGAUUUUCAAGUAGAAGUGAUAAGCCUACCGAGCUUAGAAAUAGCUGGUUAUUCAAGAAAAGAAUUUUAGUUCUGCCUUAAAUCUUCUUGUUACAUCCAAAACCUUAUAUAGAUUUAAGAGUUAUUCAAGUAAGGCACAGCUUACUUGAAACAGGGUACAACCUAUAAUACCGGGUAAACUUAUUUUAAUGUAAUCAAGUGGGCCUAAUAGCAGCCAUCUUUCAAAAAGCGUUAAAGCUUAAUUACUUUAUUUCAAUAAUACCAUUAUUUACUAUAAACCCUUUAUCCUUAUUGAAUGAUUCCAUACCCAUAUGGAAGACCUUAUGCUAGAACUAGUAACAAGAAUAUUUUUCUCCAAAAUGUAAGUGUAAGUCAACACAAAUGACAAUUAACGAAAGUGAUCUCAAUGUAAUAACUCAACAAGAAAACUUUACAACAACUAUCGUUAACCUAACGCCAGAACAUUACUGGAAAGAUCAACAGAGAAAGAAGGAACUCGGCAAAUUUUAACCCCGCCUGUUUACCAAAAACAUCGCCUCUUGAAAAAUUAUAAGAGGUCCAGCCUGCCCAGUGACAAAGUUCAACGGCCGCGGUACCCUAACCGUGCGAAGGUAGCAUAAUCACUUGUUCUUUAAAUAGGGACUAGUAUCAACGGCACCACGAGGGUUAUACUGUCUCCUUUCUCCAAUCAGUGAAACUGAUCUCCCCGUGAAGAAGCGGGGAUAACUAUAUAAGACGAGAAGACCCCAUGGAGCUUCAAACCUUCAGCAACUUUUAGUAUAUAAAUCCUAAUAUCUUAAAAGCCAUGCAAAACGGUUUUGGGUUGGGGUGACCACGGAGCAAAAAUUAACCUCCAUGACGUACAGAACUAAACCUUUAUCCAAGAGCUACCACUCUAAGAAUCAGUAAACUGACGUAAAAUGACCCGAUUAUCGAUCAACGAACCAAGUUACCCUGGGGAUAACAGCGCAAUCCACUUUAAGAGCUCAUAUCGACAAGUGGGUUUACGACCUCGAUGUUGGAUCAGGGUAUCCCGGUGGUGCAGCCGCUACUAAAGGUUCGU
rnacentral:misc_RNA from 1 species